rnacentral:rRNA from 1 species
GUACAAUAAGCUAAGUAAGGGCGUAUGGGGAAUGCCUAGGCUCUCAGAGGCGAAGAAGGACGUGAUAAGCUGCGAAAAGCUGUGGGGAGUGGCACAUACACUUUGAUCCGCAGAUAUCCGAAUGGGGCAACCCACUAUAUUGAAGAUAUAGUAUCCGUAAGGAGGCGAACCCGGAGAACUGAAACAUCUAAGUACCCGGAGGAGAAGAAAACAAAAGUGAUUCCGUUAGUAGUGGCGAGCGAACGCGGAUUAGCCCAAACCAGUGUUGUUACGGCAAUACUGGGGUUGUAGGACUACAAUAUUCGACACUAAGUGAACUAGAAUUGUUUGGAAAGACAAACCAUAGAGAGUGAUAGUCUCGUAAAGGUAAGCGAAGUUUAGAUAGUAGUAUCCUGAGUAGUGCGGGACACGAGUAAUCCUGUAUGAAUCUGGCGGGACCAUCCGUUAAGGCUAAAUACUCCUGAGAGACCGAUAGUGAACUAGUACCGUGAGGGAAAGGUGAAAAGAACCCUGAAUAAGGGAGUGAAAUAGAACCUG